CACGUAGGAGGCGAGCGUUGUCCGGAAUCAUUGGGCGUAAAGAGCUCGUAGGCGGUGUGUCGCGUCGGCCGUGAAAACCUGCAGCUUAACUGUGGCGUGCGGUCGAUACGGGCAUCACUGGAGUUCGGCAGGGGAGACUGGAAUUCCUGGUGUAGCGGUGAAAUGCGCAGAUAUCAGGAGGAACACCGGUGGCGAAGGCGGGUCUCUGGGCCGAUAACUGACGCUGGAGGAGCGAAAGCGUGGGGAGCAAACAGG
rnacentral:rRNA from 1 species